GGUAGUAAUAUACAAUAAGAACUGCUAAUUCCUAUAUCUGAGAUUAGCCCCCUCGGCUCCCUCAC
rnacentral:tRNA from 1 species